UGCGCAGGCGGAAUAUUAAGUCAGUGGUGAAAUCUUACGGCUCAACCGUAAAACUGCCAUUAAUACUGAUAUUCUUGAGUAUAGUUGUAGUGGGCGGAAUAUAUCAUGUAGCGGUGAAAUGCUUAGAUAUGAUAUAGAACACCGAUCGCGAAGGCAGCUCACUAAACUAUAACUGACGCUCAGGCACGAAAGCGUGGGGAGCAAACAGGAUUAGAUACCCUGGUAGUCC
rnacentral:rRNA from 1 species